rnacentral:rRNA from 1 species
GACGAACGCUGGCGGCGUGCCUAAUACAUGCAAGUAGAACGCUGAAGGAGGAGCUUACUUCUCUGGAUGAGUUGCGAACGGGUGAGUAACGCGUAGGUAACCUGCCUGGUAGCGGGGGAUAACUAUUGGAAACGAUAGCUAAUACCGCAUAAGAGUAGAUGUUGCAUGACAUUUACUUAAAAGGUGCAAUUGCACCACUACCAGAUGGACCUGGGUUGUAUUGGCUAGUUGGUGGGGUAACGGCUUACCAAGGCGACGAUACAUAGCCGACCUGAGAGGGUGAUCGGCCACACUGGGACUGAGACACGGCCCAGACUCCUACGGGAGGCAGCAGUAGGGAAUCUUCGGCAAUGGACGGAAGUCUGACCGAGCAACGCCGCGUGAGUGAAGAAGGUUUUCGGAUCGUAAAGCUCUGUUGUAAGAGAAGAACGAGUGUGAGAGUGGAAAGUUCACACUGUGACGGUAUCUUACCAGAAAGGGACGGCUAACUACGUGCCAGCAGCCGCCGUAA